rnacentral:snRNA from 1 species
GUGCUCACUUCAGCAGCAUAUGUACUAAAAUUGAAACAAUACAGAAAAGAUUAGCAUGGCCCCUGCACAAGGAUGAUAUGCAAAUUCAUAAAUCGUUCCAUAGUUUC